GCGAUGCCUCGAUCAGAAACAGACCGGGAUCGAUCGCACCCAUAGGAAAUUGGCAGGCGAGACAGCGCAUCCAGAGCAGAUCAAAAUCGAUCGCAUCGCAUCCAGAGCCGGCAACACGGCGACAGGCAGUUCCGAGUUCCGAUUAACUCUGUCUGAUGAACAUGUUCCGGGACUCUUGCCAUCACCAAAACAGGGAUCGUUACCUCAUUAGAGAUCGGUUCUUGCCUCCUUGAUUAAAGAUCACAGUAUAGCAGUUCAUCCGGACAGGACACGAGACUAGUAAUACAGAUUUGAGUCAUCAUGAGGAGAAGAUUCAUUACGAGGAUAUCACUGAAGAUUUCAUUUCAAGAAAUAAUAAAAGAAUGACGUUGUUCAAAUAAAUAUUAUGCAAUCGGGGGUUGAAUAGGUAUGAUUUUUUAUGUAUCCAAUUGUUAUGUAAAAUAUUAUAUCAUAUCCAUUAAUUGCUUUUCGUUCAUUUUUUUUAGUGAGAUAGGGCUCCAUUUUUUUGUUUCGCACGGGGCCCUGGAUUUUGCCAACACGGGCCUGCCCCCAAAUCCAGCCUACUCUUGUUUUCAGGUUUCUGGUGCAUUCAUUCAUCUUUAUAGGACCACUUCAACCUAAUCCUCAGGCUAUGCUUUCUGGAGUUCGUUCUCACCGCGGAGUAGAGGGUGGCUCGCCGGAGGCACAUUGCAUAGUCCUGAUGAUCCACACUAGACCCCAGAUUUUCUUGACGCACGAUGGUCCAUUGAAGGUCCUUGCAUCAAUUGUUUUCGUACCACUUGAAGAGUUAAUCAAUAGAGCACUGAUGAAUAAUGUUCAAAUAGUCUCCGCAUGUUAGACAAAACGCAUGUGUACUCAUGCACAGACGCGUGACUUGAGCUAUGUAUUGAUCAAAGAAAAUUUUAACUUACUCACAUAGUGCUAAUUGAA